GACGAACGCUGGCGGCAGGCUUAACACAUGCAAGUCGAACGCACCUUCGGGUGAGUGGCGGACGGGUGAGUAACACGUGGGAACGUACCUUUAGGUUCGGAAUAACGCAGGGAAACUUGCGCUAAUACCGAAUGUGCCCUUCGGGGAAAGGAUUUAUCGCCUUUAGUAGCGGCCCGCGUUAGAUUAGCUAGUUGGUGGGGUAAGUGGCUCACCAAGGCUACGAUCUAUAGCUGGUCUGAGAGGAUGAUCAGCCACACUGGGACGUGAGACACGGCCCACGACUCCUACGGGAGGCAGCAGUGGGGAAGUCUUGCGCAAUGGGCGGAAGACCUGACGCAGCCAUGCCGCGUGAAU
rnacentral:rRNA from 1 species